GAUGGUCCUGGAUUUAGUCAUCAUUCAGAUUUCUUCUUCCUCUUCUCUCCUUCUCUUGGUUUUGGGAGUAUUUUUGCCUUCCUAAUUUCAUCUCUGAUGACAUCCAUCCAUCGACAAAUAUGGGACGGACAGGAGUACCCGGUCACGCUGUGCUUCGCGUGGUGGUGAAUUUAUUGCUGUGCCCUUGGUGCCCUUUAUGCUCAUCUUCAUCAUUCUUUGUGAGGUCUGUCUCUCACUCUCUCAGGUAAUGUUUUUGCUUCUUUGAGAUGUAAUUUUUUGUCGAAUCUAGGCACGAUUCAAAAUGUUCUUAGUUCAUUAUUGAUUUUUUUUAAAUUUUUGGGGUGAAUUUUUGUGUUGAAAUCUCUGCAAUGUUCUUUGUGCCUGCUUUAGGUUUCACUCCCUGCUCCA
rnacentral:lncRNA from 1 species